rnacentral:rRNA from 2 species
AAAUUGAAGAGUUUGAUCAUGGCUCAGAUUGAACGCUGGCGGCAGGCCUAACACAUGCAAGUCGAGCGGUAGCACAGAGAGCUUGCUCUCGGGUGACGAGCGGCGGACGGGUGAGUAAU